AUUGAACGCUGGCGGCAUGCCUUACACACGCAAGUCGAACGGUAACGCGCCUUCCUUUUCCGUCUAGUGUCUUACGGGUGCGUAAUACUUCCGAACGUGCCCCAUCCUUGUGUCUAUCGAGUCGCAACCUUUUCUAAUACCUCAUACCAUCUACUGUUUUAAUCCGCGUUCCUCAAUGCCUUGCUCCGCUCUUGCUGUCGAUUGUAGAUUAGUUAGUUGUUUGGGUUAAAGCUUACCAAGCCGACGAUUGGUAGCUGUUCUGAGAGGAUGAUCCGUCACACUGGGACUGAGACACGGACCAGACUCCUACGGGAGGCAGCAGUGGGGAAUUUUGGACAAAGGGCGAAAGCCUGAUCGAGCAAUGCCGCGUGAAGGAUGAAGGACUUCGGGUUGUAAAAUGCUUUUGUAAGGAAAGAAAAGAAUUGUUAUAAUACAGGAGGGUCAUGACGGUACCGAAAGAAAAAGCAACGGCUAACUACGUG
rnacentral:rRNA from 1 species